rnacentral:rRNA from 1 species
UACAGAGGUCUCAAGCGUUGUUCGGAUUCAUUGGGCGUAAAGGGUGCGUAGGUGGCGCCGUAAGUCAGGUGUGAAAUUUCGGAGCUUAACUCCGAAACUGCAUUUGAUACUGCGGUGCUUGAGGACUGGAGAGGAGACUGGAAUUUACGGGUGUAGCAGUGAAAUGCGUAGAGAUCGUAAGGAAGACCAGUGGCGAAGGCGGGUCUCCUGGACAGUUCC